GAUCACCUAGUCCAUGUAAGGGUGUAAUGUUGAGCAUUCCUAAAGGAAUCUGUUAAGGAACUUGAUAUAUCUGGGCACCCAAGUGUGUGGCCACGAGGUCUCAGAGACAUUGGGAUUUGCCUCAAAGGUUCCGUUUUCCAAAAGUGGGAAUACCCUAUAUAACUCAUGAAUAGUGACAAUAAGCACCUCCCCCCACAGAAAGAGAGAGAGAAACAGUUGUUUGCUACUUGUCAAUCAGACGAUUGAGCAUGCUUGCCCCC
rnacentral:lncRNA from 1 species